CAAGGAGUUUAUCGUGUACGCGAGUCAUUGGGUGUUUAAAACCCAAAGGCGUAAUGAAAGUAAAGAGUAGAUAUUUGUAAAAUAGUCUUUUCUUUUUUACAAUCUCUCUUAAGGGAAGAUGGAAAUAGUACAUACAAUUUAUUGUGUGUCAAUAUUUUCCGCACUCCCAGGGCGCUUGUAUUUCGCUUUGCGAAUUGAUGCGCACCUAGAGCGUACACGAUGAUACCCGAAAGAUGGUGAACUAUGCCUGGCCAGGACAAAGCCAGGGGAAACCCUGGUGGAGGUCCGCAGCGAUUCUGACGUGCAAAUCGAUCGUCGGAGCUGGGUAUAGGGGCGAAAGACCAAUCGAACCAUCUAGUAGCUGGUUCCCUCUGAAGUUUCCCUCAGGAUAGCUUGCACUCGGUUGAGAAGAGUCUCAUCCGGUAGAGCGAAUGAUUAGAGGCAUUGGGGUCGAAACGACCUCAACCUAUUCUCAAACUCCAAAUAGAUGAGAACCCCGGCUUUCUUAAAAGUGAAGCCGUGGGGAUAUGAUCAGAGUGCCAAGUGGGCCAAUUUUGGUAA
rnacentral:rRNA from 2 species